rnacentral:misc_RNA from 1 species
UAAUAAGUGUUUUAUGGCACUUUUUAAAUCCAUAUCCACCUUGUGUGCAAUGUCGGUCGAUCUUCUUCUAUGGAGAUUGACCAAACAUCAACCUUUAUCUUUUAACUCUUUGUCUGAAAAUAUUAUGAAUAAACAAUUCAAAAUA